rnacentral:snRNA from 1 species
AUGCCUCUCUCUACCUUUUGGCUAAGAUCAAGUGUAGUAUCUGUUAAGUGUCUCAUAUGUUAGACAAUUCAUAUAAAACUUAAUGUGGAAAUUCAUAACAAAUCAAUGAUCUUUUGAUCUUCAUGAUUUUCACAAA